UCACUUACCUGGACGGGGUCAACUCGUGAUCAAGAAGACGAGUGGCCUAGGCUAGUGACCGGCAUUGCACAUUAGUCCGGGGUGCUUAGCUUAAGGUCUUCCCAUGAGGAAGAGCCUACGUCAUUAUUUGUGACAGAGGGGUUUGCGUCCGCGCAGCCCCUAC
rnacentral:snRNA from 1 species